rnacentral:lncRNA from 1 species
AAGAAAUCUUAAAGAAAUUCUAAAGAAAUUAUAAAGAAAUAAUAAAGAAACUUUAAAGAGAUUCUAACAAAAUCCACAAGCAUCUUAAAGAAAUCCUUAUGAAAUCCUAAAUAAAUCCUAAAGAAACUCUAAAAAAUUCCUAAGAAAUCCUAAAUCUUAAACCAAAUCUAAUUAGAUAUUAAAUCUUAAAUAAAAUUCUAAUCAAAUUCUAAAUCAAAUACUAAUCAAAUCCUAAGCAAAUCCUAGCCAAAAUCUAAUCAAUUCAAACUAAUCCUAGCACAAUUUUAGAACUUCAAUAUCUAUUGAUUAAAUUGUUGAUCUUAUUUAAAAUUUUAUACAUCUCUUAAUCUCUUAAUUAACAACAAGCACAAUAAAUUUGAAGAAAAUCGAACUUACAAAAUAGGAAAAAAAUGUUAUAAUCCACUCAAGUAUUGACUAGCCUCCAACUUUAAUAUUAAUGUUGAUCUUCCAAUAGUAAUAACUCCUAAAUGAAUUGUUAACUUCCUUAAAAAUUUUGCAAAAGUAUUAGAAGUCAAGUCAAUUAUUAAUUCCAAUAAAAAUUAUCUCAAUCCAAAUAAAAAAUUAUUAUACAUCUUAGAUAACCUUAUUAAACCUAAAAAUCUAAUUUCCAAGAUCCUAACUCAC